rnacentral:rRNA from 1 species
UACGUAGGGGGCAAGCGUUGUCCGGAAUCAUUGGGCGUAAAGAGCGUGUAGGCGGUCCGGUCAGUCGGUUGUGAAAGUCAAGGGCUCAACCCUUGAAUGCCGGCCGAUACUGCCGGGCUAGAGUCCGGAAGAGGUGAGUGGAAUUCCUGGUGUAGCGGUGAAAUGCGCAGAUAUCAGGAGGAACACCGAUGGCGAAGGCAGCUCACUGGGACGGUACUGACGCUGAGACGCGAAAGCGUGGGAAGCAAACAGG